rnacentral:tRNA from 1 species
UGUGGCGUAGACCGUAACUGGUAGCGGACCGCACUGUUAAUGCGGCGCGAAAGCCUCUGCAGGUUCGAAUCCUGCCGCCACAG